GUGCUCACUUUGGCAGCACAUAUACUAAAAUUGGAAUGAUACAGAGAACAUUAGCAUGGCCCCUGUGCAAGGGUGAUAUGAAAUAGGGGCCAUUAAACCAUACAUAA